GCAGGGCCGGGCCGGCUGUGCCUCCGGGGGCGGGCUGAGACAUCGCCGUGACCGUCAGGGGGAAAGCGCCGGCUGGCCCUGGCAGCGAGGCACACAGCAACUUUGGAGACCUUCGGUGCCGAGAAAGGCUCUUACCUGAUGCUUUAUGAGCUGGCUGGACACUGUAGUCCUGACAAUGGGAACUGUAAAACAGAGGGGGAAACGCUCCUGCUUUCAAAUUCUCACCCGGACUGUCACAGUAAGAACACUUGUGCUGAGAGACUUCUUUUCUGUAACCAAGGAACAGUCUUCCCCCUUGAGAAAUUUCAUUCUCUUCCACAUUAAGUGAGAUGGGUUAAUGACAGAUGGAUCUCCCUAGAAUGAGAAGGGAAGCAAAACAAACAAUUAGACUGAUGACCAUGGUGAGUCCAAAGUUGUGAAGGGGAUGCAUUUCUUAUGAUUACCCCACUCAGUUGUUGCAAGGCUUGUUCUUCAUAAUCCAGUUGUCGCUUCAGUUUCAAACUGUUAGACAGAGCAAGUCUUGCUGGGUUUAUAUCUAUGCCUCGUUGUCCA